rnacentral:rRNA from 1 species
GUAACACGUGGAUAACCUGCCCUAAGGUGGAGGAUAACCCCGGGAAACUGGGGAUAAUACUCCAUAGACCAGAGUGACUGGAAUGUUUUCUGGUCGAAAGUUCCGGCGCCUUAGGAUGGAUCUGCGGCCGAUUAGGUAGUUGUUGGGGUAACGGCCCAACAAGCCAGUCAUCGGUACGGGUUGUGGGAGCAAGAGCCCGGAGAUGGAAUCUGAGACACGAUUCCAGGCCCUACGGGGCGCAGCAGGCGCGAAAACUUUACAAUGCAGGAAACUGUGAUAAGGGAACCCCGAGUGCUCGUACACGCGAGCUGUCCAGGUGUGUAAAAAGCAUCUGAAGAAAGGGCCGGGCAAGACCGGUGCCAGCCGCCGCGGUAAUACCGGCGGCUCGAGUGGUGGCCACUAUUAUUGGGCUUAAAGCGUUCGUAGCUGGACUCUUAAGUCUCCUGGGAAAUCCGCCGGCUCAACCGGCGGGCGUCCAGGAGAUACUGGGAGUCUUGGAACCGGAAGAGGUAAGAGUACUUCGGGGUAGGAGU